GUAGGGCUUGCUCAGUUGGUUAGAGCCCUAGAUUGUGGUUCUAGGGGUCCUUGGUUCGUGUCUGAGUACUUACCCA
rnacentral:tRNA from 1 species